AACGCUGGCGGCAUGCCUUACACAUGCAAGUCGAACGCGAAAGCGGGGGCAACCCCGCAAGUAGAGUGGCGAACGGGUGAGUAAUACAUCGGAACGUGUCCAGUAGCGGGGGAUAACCUCUCGAAAGAGAGGCUAAUACCGCAUACGACCUACGGGUGAAAGAGGGAGAUCGCAAGACCUCUCACUAUUGGAGCGGCCGAUGUCGGAUUAGCUAGUUGGCGGGGGUAAAAGCCCACCAAGGCUACGAUCCGUAGCUGGUCUGAGAGGACGACCAGCCACACUGGAACUGAGACACGGUCCAGACUCCUACGGGAGGCAGCAGUGGGGAAUUUUGGACAAUGGGCGCAAGCCUGAUCCAGCCAUGCCGCGUGAGUGAAGAAGGCCUUCGGGUUGAAAAGCUCUUUCGGCUGGGACGAAAAGGUCUGUGUCAACACCACGGAUCCAUGACGGUACCAGCAGAAGAAGCACCGGCUAACUACGUGCCAGCAGCCGCGGUAAUACGUAGGGUGCAGGCGUUAAUCGGAAUUACUGGGCGUAAAGCGUGCGCAGGCGGUUUACUAAGACAGGUGUGAAAUCCCCGGGCUUAACCUGGGAACUGCGCUUGUAACUGGUAGGCUGGAGUGUGGCAGAGGGGGGUGGAAUUCCACGUGUAGCAGUGAAAUGCGUAGAGAUGUGGAGGAACACCGAUGGCGAAGGCAGCCCCCUGGGCUAACACUGACGCUCAUGCACGAAAGCGUGGGGA
rnacentral:rRNA from 1 species